rnacentral:rRNA from 1 species
AACGAACGCUGGCGGCAUGCCUAACACAUGCAAGUCGAACGAGACCUUCGGGUCUAGUGGCGCACGGGUGCGUAACGCGUGGAAACCUGCCCUUAGGUUCGGAAUAACUCCCCGAAAGGGGUGCUAAUACCGGAUAAUGUCUUCGGACCAAAGAUUUAUCGCCUUUGGAUGGGCCCGCGUUGGAUUAGCUAGUUGGUAGGGUAAAAGCCUACCAAGGCGACGAUCCAUAGCUGGUCUGAGAGGAUGAUCAGCCACAUUGGGACUGAGACACGGCCCAGACUCCUACGGGAAGCAGCAGUGGGGAAUAUUGGACAAUGGGCGAAAGCCUGAUCCAGCAAUGCCGCGUGAGUGAUGAAGGCCUUAGGGUUGUAAAGCUCUUUUACCCGGGAUGAUAAUGACAGUACCGGGAGAAUAAGCUCCGGCUAACUCCGUG